GUGGUCUAUGUUGUAUAAUUAGAUCUACCAGGUUUUAGGGGUGUAUUCCUGAAAAUAAUCAGUUCUAGUAAUCUCUCUUUCCUGUGCAGUACUCAGUACAUGUAAUACAAAGGCCAAGAUCAUUAUCUACUACAAGGGCCAAUAAACUGCUUGUGGCACGAAUUGCCAUGUAAUAACUAAUUUGUUGCCUUGAAAACCAUUUUCUGAUAUAGAAACCAGCAUAGAGACCACUUGCUGCAUAUAGAUGUGAAAAAAAAGGUAAUUUGGUAGUUUUUGUUCUGUUUUUGGUGGCUGGAUUUACAAUAUAUAAACAGUGGUUUGCAGAACAGUUGUCAUAAUUAUACUCAGAGUAGCAGUAGGCAGUGACUUUUACAAGGUCACUUUGCCCCAGUGCAACAUGUCACACUAUAACCCUGGUUAAAACAUGUGCAAUUCAAGUAACCCACAUGUUGGGUUACAACAACAGAUAAAAGUAUACACAUUUAAAACAAGUAGAAAUACUCAGCUACAGGUUGUUGUAACCAGCCAUAUAGGUUCUUUUAAGCAUAUUUGGUAAUGGCAAGGGCGUAUAAAAGAAGAGAGGGCAUGCAUGCAACUCCAUAUGAGCAGAGUUCAAAUGUGGGCGGAUGAAUGUGCAUGACUGGCAUGAAAUGCGAAAUUUAUAUUUUUAGCACUUAAUGCAAAUUAAUGCACACAUUCCUCUGCCCACGUUUGAACUCUGCUAGCUACGUGUAUACUGAUAGUGGAGUUGCAUGCUCUCUCUUCUUUUAUACGCCCUUGGAAAUGGGUCGUAUAGCAACUUCCCAUAGGUAGAAACAUCCACCUAUAUGUAGGUUUUAGCAAUCAUGCACAGCAGCAGCCAUACGUAGAAGUACCCGCCCAUGCAUGCAGCUAUAGGUUGUAGCAACCUCCCGUAGGUAUAUAGUAGCUGAUCGGUCAAAACAACCGCGCUAUAAUUAUAGGUUCUUUUGACUCACAUUUCAUCACUCAUGCAUAAUUAUUGUAGAAAAACUCAGUGCCGUGACGUGACAUACAUGUAAGUGUGUUCUAAUUACAAUCAUCACAAAACAAGAAACUGAUAAUGUACUUACAUACAAGUGCAUUCAGCCUAUAGAGUAAAUAAACGCAAUUUGGUGCGUAAUGGUACAUAAAUGUAAAUAUUUUGGGAUUGGAACAUUUCUAAGAAAAUAUGAUGAUAUACCAUUGUGUUGGUGAACAAAUUAUCUAAAAGUCCAAAAAGAUUUCCAUGGCAACCAAAGGUGGUGGGUAUGUGGUGGUUUAUAUAACACCAACAUUUUUCUAUAGUGGAUAAUCGCUUAACAAUGGAAAACACCAUCGUUUUCGGCUAAGGUAUGGAAUUUUGGCACAACAUUCCUGAAUAUUUAACGUAACAUAUGCAUGCAUGUACACGUCUCACUACAAGGAGGAUAUGCAUCAAUAUAAUUAUCGUUCGCUACUGUGCAUAGUUACUCUGAGGACAAGGAUAAGAUUCAAUGGUUGUUCCCACGCAAGAGGAGGAUAAAGUGAGGAAAAGAACUGAUUGAGGGAGCGGAAGAAAAUGGUGACCCUCGCCUUGAGGCAGUACCUCACCAAGCAGCCAAGGUGUGUGUGUGUGUGUGUGUUGGAAAAAGUGUGUGUGGUCAGUGAUGAUAUUCAAGAGACGGGCGGACUGAGAACAGUGUUCUGUGCAGACUGUCUCUAAUUCUGAGACCAUUACCAGUAACUUUCUGCGGUGUCGAUUCUGCCGCUUUUUAGAAUGUUCUGUCACUGUUAACAAGAGCUAGAUAUUGCGACUGAGAUGUGCUUCAUGAAGAAAAUACCAAGUAUACUACUCUUGGAAAGUUGUCUGAACAUAAAAUGUAUGUGCUGUGGGCCAUUGAAGGAAUGCCACACGGAAGAAGAUAUCAGCAUUGGAAAAAAGCUGCAAGAGAUAGACGGCUGGCUUGGUGUGCCAAAGAUGAAAGUGCAAACGAAGUUAUCAAGUGAUUCUAAUAUUACAUUGUGUCCUUUGGUAAGUCCUCUGAUAAUAACUUUUACCGAUCAUGAACCAACUACAAAUGUAUGUCUACAGUAUCAUUAUUUUUUCAACCACUUUUUAAUACAAUUAUAAUAAUUAUGGAAGUUGUACUGUAUAGAACUUAAAGCAGUAUCUCAUUCUAAUCCUUUUCAUUAUCCUGUGAAUAGAGACCGUAUAGUCAUUCCUUUAUUGAGCCCAAAACUCUUCAGUCUUAUCGUGGAAGUGUAUUUUCAGUGUAUUAUUAUUCCUGUCAGAAGUUACCAGGUCUAAGCAGACUUCUCAGCAUUCUGACUAUUUUAGCUUGUCUAUUAUGACUUCUAAUAAUGACCUGAGCAAGAUAUCUUACCAUGUUAGCCCUUUGAUGAGAAGAAGAUAGCUUUGAUUCACUGCCACAGCAGCCUCUCUUAUUGGCGCCAAUUUCGCGCGCAAUGUAUCGCUAAAUAAUGAUUACAUCACCGUAACGCGCCUGGAUUCAACCACGCCCAUCGUUUCCAAUCCCUUUCUCUUCCUUCAUCUAUGGUUUAACUACCUUAAACAUCAUUUAAUCUACAGUACACUGAGUAAUAAAUAUGCAAGCCAUGCACUCGAAACUAUAAGGUCACAAUGAAUAUGGCACCUGGGAGACGAGAAAUAUUACCACAGAAGACGCACCUGUUAGCGCAGGCCAGACCAUGCAGGUGUGGUUUCCAUGUAUCAAUGACUCUUGAUACUGCAUGUAGAACAAAUACUGUUACGGCCACCUCUCCCCCUCAGAACAGACUUGGUCCAUAGAUAUACAUCUUCACCUCAGAGGAACCAACCACAAGAUAGCUGUUUUUGUGAUUACAGAUGAAAAUAAGUGUUCUUGCUUAGCAGCCUAGGCGUAACGCGUCUAGACUUCAAAGGGUUUCACCCACACAACGUACAAAACGUGACGUCAAAUGACGUGCGUUUUCAAUCCCUUUCUCUUCCUUCAUCUACGGUUAAACAAAGUUAAUCGAGGUACUCCGCUUGCCCUGCCUACUGCAUUAUGUACUGCCCAGCAUCUACGCGCAUGUGCAAUUAUCUCUACACCUCGUGCUUGAUUAUAGCUAUCUGAGUUAAAGCCCCACACCCAACCCUCCCUUGGUUUCUAUACACUUCUCUGUCGUUACGACAUGACUGAGCCGUGGCUAUGACUGUUGGCUAGGCCACCUCUUUACCCCCAAGUACUUAAUUAGGGGAGCAACAUAAUUAUUAAAAACGCUUAAUUAUUAUCUAAUUAGCGAGGUUGCACUCCUUUAAUUAAUUAGAGGGGCUUCCUAACAAUAAUAACGGCCUUCAGUCAUGGUCCGGCUCACCCUCCAAGGGGCGUUGCGGUAAUGGGUAGCUGUACUCAACGCUUACAGCGGUACCUAGAGCAAUAUAUAACUAUGUAGUGGUAAUGGUAUCUAGUCGGGUGCAUGGCUUGCAUAUUUAUUACUGGUGUACUGUAGAUUACUGAACAUUUUGCAAUUUGCUGCAUGCAAACUCAAAAAGUGGGUAAUGAUCAACCAUAAUUGUUGUUAAAAAGAUCGAUGCCAAAAGUUCAAGUCUAAUUAAUGGCUGUCAUUAUGCCUCGGUGCGCAUGCGCAAGCGAGGUAUACGGUAGUGUGUUUGUGUGUCUGUGUGUCUGUGUGUCUGUGUAGACCGCUACAGCUGCUCAAGGAUGAAUCAAGUGCAAGUAAGAGUUUCUAUAGGCUUCUAGUCAUGUUUACUUGGAUUUUAAUUCGUGGAUUUGCAAAAUAAUGCUUCGUUCUCGAGUUAUGCCUAGUUUUGCUUACUUGGAAUGCUAUUGCAGCCUUUUCAGAAGAGUCCGUAGCAAAACUUGUUCACCGAGUGUUACUACUCUACUUAGUAGUUAGCUCUGCACUAGAACGCUAGCUAUUGGUAGCUGCAAGAGUGAGCAGAGAGCUGCAAGGCUCUGCUGACUUGCAGCCAUUAAUUUUAGACUUGAACUUUUGGCAUCGAUCUUUUUUAACAACAAUCAUGGUCGAUCAUUACCCACUAUUCGGUUGAUUGCAUGCAGCAAAAUUCAUCAUAAUCAAUGUGUGUAUAAUAAAAGCUAGCUAUUAGUAGUUUUAUGUUAUGUAGCUUUGGCACCUCCACCGAGGCAUCAGCACCUGUGGUGCUUUCAUUACUAUGCCAAAAGUUCAAGUCUAAUUAAUGGCUGUCAUCAGCACUGCAGAGCCUUGCAGCUCUUUUCUCACUCUCGAAGCUACCAAUAGCUAGGUUCCUAAGUAGAGUAGCAACACUCGGUAAACAAGUUUGGCUACGUGCUUUUCUGAAAAAACUGCAUGCAAUGGCAUUCCAAUUAAGUAAGCAAAACUAGAGAACAAAGCAUUAUUGACUCGAAGAAAACAUAACUAUAGAAGCCUAUUAGAAACUCUUACUUGCACUUAUUGAUCGAGCAGCUGUAGCACUCUACACAGACACACACAAACACACUACCGUAUAUACCUCGCUUAUACGCAUGCACACCGAAGCAUAAUAAUAAUAGAUAAUAUAUAUACAUGGUUGCAUGCACUGGUCCAUAAUUAUACAAACACUGAACAGAUGCAUGCGUGAGUAUAUAGCUAAGGUUACAAAUGUGCAUGCAGCUGUUGGAAUAUCCUAUAUUAUAUAGCGUAUAAUAGCACAUUGUAAAGUGUCUACUGCUGCUGGACGUCUAUGGUGAGGUCAAUGUUGUCCACCUUCGUAGCAAAUUCCUGCCAUCCUUUGUCCUUCCUCCGACCAGACAUGCCACUGACGUACACAUUGUUGGUGGGAUUGGCCGGCCACCACGGAGCAGGAAGGAGGUGAGAGUACUUCUCUCGGAUCAUCUUUAGCCCAGAGUCUUUAGCUCUGGACUAUUAAGCGUAAUAGUGCAUGCAAGGUACAUGUAUGUCAUCAUUACAGUGCUUCAUAUCAAUUAUUGUUUCAAUAAUGUAAGGUACUUUACUUUUGAGGAACUAAAAUACAGUUUCCGUGGAUUGGCUUCGAACCUUAAAAAUGGUGCUCCUCGAAAAUAAAGCACUAUAAAGGACUGUAUAUAUACAGUAGAACCUCGCUAAUCCGAAUAAGCGGGACUAAACCCCCAUUCAAAUAUACAUGAAAAUUUUGGAUGUCAUUUAGCCUCGAUCCCAGGCCGCACUUCCCACUAGGCUCAAAGGCCGGUGAAGGAGGCUAGAUGUCAUUAAGUAUCAUUAACAAAGAACACUCACAUGCACAUGCAUGCAUGUAAUAUUACUGUGGCCAGAAGGAAAGCUGCUAGCUAAUUUUAUCUCAAAUUUCUAAUAUACAGCGAGUCUUGUGAGCUCUUUUCGUUUUCUUUGCAGUAUAGCCAUUGUAUUCAGUGAGGUAUUGAGCAGUUUAUUAAUAAAGUGCGCAUGUGCAGUAGUCUAUUCUACAGCCCUCUUCUUUUCAGUUUAAUAUUAUUUUUUGUCCAGUCUCCGAACUUUAAAAAGGGUCCAGAUUAGCUAGGUUCUAUACUGUACUUAAAGGUGGCAUAAAAUUGGGUAUUAAUUUCUGCUAAUUCUGCGAAUGAGAGUAAAAUCGCAAAAAUGUGUACUUGUGAAUGAUGUUCUUGCGUACUUGGAAAAAUUCCUCACAUUUUUCCACUACUGCAGCAUACUGUCUUCGCUCCUCAGCAGUAAUAUUAGUGAACACUAGGUUUGACUCCGCUUCUUCUCCUAAAAUGUAUUGACUUGUUUCCACUGUGACUCUCCUGUAAGGCCUGAUGCUUCUCGAAAUUGUUCAAACUGUCUUUUCCAGCAUGGCCAGGCAUCAGGUGUCUGAUUUUUUUCAAAAAAAUGGGACGUAGACAAAAUUUAGACGUAGACAUAAACACAGCACACAACUGAAAAAUGACAUAGGUUAUAGGACAUAGGUUAUAGGCUAGUGGUGAUUUUUGGUACACAUGCAGUUCAUGUACACUAUUGAUUAUAAUUAUAAACUCUAAGAAGAGGCCAUAAUUAUACCUGUCCUCACACUUUGUAAAAACAGCUGAACUUUCCCCACAGUCCCCGUGAUACUCUUGGAGUGUGCUAGCAAGGAGAUGAAAUAUAGGAGUUUGGCUCAUUGGGUUCCACUGUCUUGUCACUUUUGUACGCUCAUGCUUUUUCCCUUCGAAUCAGCUUGUGUAUAUCUACGUUGUGAAUCGAAUUUGUAUUGUACAGUGGCCCAGAGAGUACGAUUAACCUUUACUAGCGGACAGUAUACGAUGACCUUCGAUAGUAGAGAGUUGACCUUAGCUAGUGGACAGUGCGAUUAACCUUCGCUAGUGGAGAGUUCAUUUUUCAGUCUAGUGAAAGCUUACCUUAGCUAGAGACAUUUAGGGGGGUGCUGAUUUUUUUGACUUUUGCUACAUUUUUAUAGAGCCAGGCACUUUUAAUACACUCACUACGCUCGGGGUACUACAGCAGUGCCUUUGCAUGACAUUCUAAAUCCCGUAGACACAUCCGAAACAGUAUAUAUAACUAUUUUAAUUUAUAGUCUAUAAUUAUAAUUAUAUAUAGACCUUAAUCUUAAACAUUUUUAUAGCUGCAUGUAACUUUGUGUGUUUCUACUUUGUCCACCAUGGAGUCUCUAUAUAUAUAGCUUGUUUUAUUGUUUCACUGUGUUCCAGAUGCACCUUCAAAUACAAUUCCUUACAAUUGGUGAUCAUGCUGUUUGCUCUGCCAUUCAUAUAAUCUGCUAUCCACUGCUCUUGUUUCUUGUCAGAAGGAUACAAACUUUGAUAUUUCGAUAUAGAUCUACUUCACUCACUUUAUUACUCAAAGAUGGCUUCCCGUGCAUGCUCAUGAAGCUUAGACUCGCAAGCCGUCACUGUUGCAGGUGAACAGUGACGGCUUGCGAGUCUACAUGAAGCUUAUGAAAGCUCUGAUUCUCCUGGCUCUUGUCCAGUUAUUCCAUGGUGAAUACCUAUAUAGCCACUCAGUGUCUGACAAGUUUCUGAAGAACGGCGGCGGAUGUCAUCUGGUAUUGAAUGGAAUGGAGUUUUUAGGGAUCAAACUGUACUGACAAUUUAAGAUACUAUUAUUCCAUGACUGAGAUCAUGCCUUCACACUGUAUACUGUGUAUGUAGAUCUAUAAGCUUAAUACCCGUUACUAAAUGUUAGUUUUGACUUUACCAUACUCUUAAACUCGCUAGCUAGCUACUCGCAGCCACUGAGUAGCCUACUGGCUGCGACUCGACUCAGUCUCUUGCAUGUAUUUACGUUGUAGGUGAAUAUGUAGAUAGAUAAUGAUUAUAUAUAAUUAUAAUUAUAUCUGUUUAUAUCAUGCCAUUGUCCUCGUGAGCCCUAGGAUUAGGUCUGGAGACUCUUGCAGCAUUUCCGUGUGCUCUGCAGAAUGUGGCCAUGCAGAGCCAAUGAAAUGCAUAUCCUAUGUCUUGUGAUUUUUAACCCAAAUAAAUGCGAGUAUUGCCUCUUGAAUACGAAAUGAGAGUAUUGCUACAUCUACUCCUUCUUUACAACCUCCAAUAUCACAAGUUUUAACUAAUUAUUGACAUUCCAUGCAAGAGCAUGUAGGUACAUGGACUGCUACAAGAGUUUCCAGGCCUUUUCUUCUCUUGCCUCUCGGCCGCUCUCCCCUCUGAGAAAAGGUCUGGCCCCCAUGCAUGCAGGCUAAUAUUUUCUAUAUUGAAAUCACACCCACGUAUAUACUGCAUGGUGAAACGCCCCUAUUCGUAUGUUAAUUUUUUCGAUAGAAUAGUUAUAGACACAAUUACGCUGUGAUAAUUAUAUUCAUUCUACUGGUUUACUUAAGUCUAGCGUUCCAAUGUUUCUGAUUAGAGAACUCCAAUCCCCCGUCCCAGUGUCGUAUUCUCCACACCUUUUGUAGGGCUCAAAAUUUGCGAGCCCUGUAAGGUACAGAUUAUGUGUGGGGUUAGCCGGGUCAAUGAUGCGAGGUGCCCUCGGGGGAACUAGGGUAGGGUACUGCUUCAUAGCGUAGCACUGCUCCCAGUAUAUGCUGCAUGUGUGUAUGUGUGUGUGUGCGUGCGUGCGUGGGGGGGGAUUAAUUUUGUGACAGUUGGUACUAUUUAUAAUAUAACAGUGUAUGAUGUCAUGUAUGAUGUCAUAGGAACUAUGUAACAGCAGUUGAUCUUAUGUAAAGUUCAGUUGUGCAAUGAUUAUCAAUUUGAUUAAGUGAGUCUAUCCUGCUACAAUAACUAGCCAAGGCACACGUCUACAAAUUUUACUGUAUAAAAGAGCUUGGUUCACUUAUAAGAUUAAGGCACAGGUUGUACUUCACUUGAUUAUCUGGACACCUUGAUUUCCAGAGGCAGGCCAGAUAUCUGAAUAAUUAUAUACCGGAUAAUCGAAUGGAUAAACUACGCCUUUAUCUACCCACUUAACAAACAGCAGUGCAAAUUUAGUGUAUGUGGUCGUCUGCACAUGCGCAGAAAAUAUGUCU